UACGUGCCCGGUUGCCGGUUACCGUGUACGUAGACACUGAGACUAGGUAGGUGCCCGGUUACCGAAUGUAGACAGCCCAACAACCAGAGCUUUCUGAUUUCUCGAACCUUAUGACUAAUGAUUUGGUGGCUAACCGAUUAACAGUCAGCCACCAAGCAUGCUUUGUCUACUAAUGUCUACCUAAUUGUACACAUAUUUACUUCUCUUGUGCUAGAUCCCCCAGAGCUCACGGGAUGUCCCUCCUUGUAGGCCACUCGCCUUGCUGCAGACAGACGCCUGUUGUGUGUCCCCGCGACACCCACCGGUACAAGCGGAAGAAAAAAGUAAAGUUAAGGAACCAGUGAACUCGUCACACGGUGAAGUCGACACAGCUGAAAAACGUGGGCCAAGUUCACCGAAAAGAAAGGUCUGGUCAUGGAGGUUUUGCAGUGCUGCCACAAGCCUGGAGACUAUGUCCUGGAGUCCUGUGAGGAUGUCGUCACCGACAAAUUUGCUGUUCCAGACAAACCUUGGUGUGUGCUGUAGCGGACAGUACUGUCAGUGAUGCGUCCAACGGGCGGCCAGACGGGACCUGCUUUUCUUGGAUUACCCCCCAGGGCGGUGCCACUGAUUGAAGUGUCUUUAGGCCAUUCCCAAAGGGGGAACAUUUCUCGUUCUAA